rnacentral:rRNA from 1 species
UACGUAGGUGGCAAGCGUUGUCCGGAAUUACUGGGCGUAAAGCGUGCGCAGGCGGUUUUGUAAGCCAGAUGUGAAAUCCCCGGGCUUAACCUGGGAAUGGCAUUUGGGACUGCAAGGCUGGAGUGCGGCAGAGGAGACUGGAAUUCCUGGUGUAGCAGUGAAAUGCGUAGAUAUCAGGAGGAAUACCGAUGGCGAAGGCAGGUCUCUGGGCUGACACUGACGCUCAUGCACGAAAGCGUGGGGAGCAAACAGG